rnacentral:rRNA from 1 species
CCACACCUAAAACUAUCCACGUGAACCGUUAAGCAAACAAGUUAAGGCAGGCGCGAUUGGUGGUGCGUCUGGGAAGCGCUUGUCGAUAUUCGAUCGGAUCGGAUAUUGUCGGGCGUCGUCCUGGACACGCUGUCGAUCGGAGUCGGCUAAACGAAGGUCGGGCGUUCGCUAUCGGAGCGAUGUGCGCGUUGUCGCACGUUGCUGCAAUGGCUCGAGCAAGCGGCUGAUUUAUGUCUUUCAAACCAUACGUGACGUACUGAUUAUACUGUGAGGACGAAAGUCCUUGCUUUUACUAGAUAACAACUUUCAGCAGUGGAUGUCUAGGCUCGCACAUCGAUGAAGAACGCUGCGAACUGCGAUACGUAAUGCGAAUUGCAGAAUUCAGUGAGUCAUCGAAAUUUUGAACGCAUAUUGCACUUCCGGGUUAUGCCUGGAAGUAUGUCUGUAUCAGUGUCCGUACAUUAAACUUGCCUCUCUUCGUCGGUGUAGUCCGGCUUGGAGAAGGAGCAGAGGUGAAGUGUCUCGCGCCAUGCUGGUGAUCUAUCUUCGGGUAGAUGACGAGAGUGCACGAGUCCUUUGAAAUGGACUCCGGUUUUUCUAUUGCGUUGCUCAAGGGCGUGUAUUUUGAACGCGGCAAUCUCGUCGAUUGCCUGCAGAUGUUUACGACCUUGGCGAGAACAUGUGGAAGCAACCUCCUUUUCGCGGUACGUUAGGCUUUCGGCUGGACAAUGUUGUGAGAGGUGUGUGUCUUUUCGUUUUCGCUUGGAGGUGUGUUUU